rnacentral:rRNA from 1 species
GAUGAACGCUGGCGGCGUGCCUAAUACAUGCAAGUCGAGCGAACAGACGAGGAGCUUGCUCCUCUCACGUUACCGACGGACGGGUGAUUAACACGUACAUAACCUACCUAUAAGACUGGGAUAACUUCGGGAAACUUGAUCUAAUACCCGAUAAUAUAUUGAACCGCAUGGUUCAAUAGUGAAAGCCGUAUUUGCUCUCCCGUAUAGAUGUAUCCUCGCCGCAUUAGCUAGUUGGUAAGGUAACGGCUUACCAAGGCAACGAUGCGUAGCCGACCUGAGAGGGUGAUCAGCUACACUGGAACUGAGACACGGUCCAGACUCCUACGGGAGGCAGCAGUAGGGAAUCUUCGGCAAUGGGCGCAAGCCUGACGCAGCCACGCCGCGUGAGGGAUGAAGGUCUUCGGAUUGUAAAACGCUGUUAUUCGGGAAGAACAAAUGUGUGAGUAAAUCUGCACGUGUUGACGGUACCGAAACAGAAAGCAACGGCUAACUACGUG